rnacentral:rRNA from 1 species
AUUGAACGCUGGCGGCGGGCCUAACACAUGCAAGUCGAACGAGUGGCGGACGGGUGAGCAAUGUAUAGGAAACUGCAUGAUGGAGGGGGAUAACUACUGGAAACGGUAGCUAAUACCGCAUACCAUCAGAUGUGCCCAGAUGGGAUUAGCGUGUGGGUGGGGUAGCGGCUCACCAAGGCGACGAUCCCUAGCUGGCCUGAGAGGAUGACCAGCCACACUGGGACUGAGACACGGUCCAGACUCCUACGGGAGGCAGCAGUGGGGAAUAUUGGGCAAUGGGCGCAAGCCUGAUGCAGCCAUGCCGCGUGUAUGAAGAAGGCCUUCGGGUUGUAAAGUACUUUCAGCGGGGAGGCGUUACCCGCAGAAGAAGCACCGGCUAACUCCGUGCCAGCAGCCGCGGUAAUAC